rnacentral:tRNA from 1 species
GUGGGUAUAGCUCAGUGGUACAGCGCGUGCUUAGCAGGCAUGAAUGAGGUCCUGAGUUCAAUCCCCAGUACCUCCA